rnacentral:lncRNA from 1 species
AACAGGGUCUAACAACUAAACUUACGUGCCAUCAGCACAAUCUGAUGCCAAAAUAGCAAUCUGGGUUCACCGUCAACCCCGACGGCACCCGACAGUCCGGAACAGCCUAGACACUGCUGUAAAAAUAAGCCCAGCAUCUCAGCACGAGCGUAAACAUAUUCUACACAAUCCCAAAUAUUCACCACCCACAAAUUGCGGUGAUACAAUCAAAUUACGGCUCCUAGAGUUUAAUCAGGUAGUUUUAAUAUAUGACGGUGUAGAAGCGUCAGUUUUCUCCUAAGUCAAAUCCAAGUCCAACAUAUAUUAUUUAUCUAAUUCAUUUCAGCAUGCUCCAAAUUCAGAUUGCUUCUAACAUGAUAAUCGAU